AUUGAACGCUGGCGGCAUGCUUUACACAUGCAAGUCGAACGGUAACAGGGUGCUUGCACCGCUGACGAGUGGCGAACGGGUGAGUAAUGCGUCGGAACGUGCCGAGUAGUGGGGGAUAACGCAGCGAAAGUUGUGCUAAUACCGCAUACGUACUGAGGUAGAAAGCGGGGGACCUUCGGGCCUCGCGCUAUUCGAGCGGCCGACGUCUGAUUAGCUAGUAGGUGAGGUAAAGGCUCACCUAGGCGACGAUCAGUAGCGGGUCUGAGAGGAUGAUCCGCCACACUGGGACUGAGACACGGCCCAGACUCCUACGGGAGGCGGCAGUGGGGAAUUUUGGACAAUGGGCGAAAGCCUGAUCCAGCCAUGCCGCGUGUCUGAAGAAGGCCUUCGGGUUGUAAAGGACUUUUGUCGGGGAGGAAAUCCCCAGCGUUAAUACCGCUGGGGGAUGACAGUACCUGAAGAAUAAGCACCGGCUAACUACGUGCCAGCAGCCGCAGUAAAAC
rnacentral:rRNA from 1 species